GAUGAACGCUGGCGGCGUGCCUAAUACAUGCAAGUCGAGCGAAGAGAUAAGGUGCUUGUUCCUUUGACGUUAGCGGCGGACGGGUGAGUAACACGUGGUUAAUCUACCUAUAAGACUGGGAUAACAUCGGGAAACCAGUGCUAAUACCGCAUAAUAUUUUGAACCGCAUGGUUGGAGAGUGAAAGAUGGAUUUGCUUUCACUUAUAGAUGGACCCGCGCCGUAUUAGCUAGUUGGUAGGGUAACGGCCUACCAAGGCGGCGAUACGUAGCCGACCUGAGGGGGGGGUCGGCCACACUGGAAGUGAGACACGGUCCAGACUCCUACGGGGGGCGGCAGUAGGGAAUCUUCCGCAAGGGGGGGAGGCCGGACGGAGCAGCGCCGCGGGGGGGAGGAAGGUCUUCGGAGGGUAAAACUCUUUUAUUGGGGAAGAAGAUGGGUGGAAGUGACUGUGCACGUCUUGACGGUACCUAAUCAGAAAGCGACGGCUAACUACGUG
rnacentral:rRNA from 1 species